GCUGGAGAGGCGACACUGAGCUGUUGGGUAUGAAGUGUAACAACAGAACAGACUUUACCACCUGAAACUGCUGCUUCAAGUUCAGAUCAGGCAAGGAACAAACCUCAAAACAACCAACAAGACCAAAGAAGAGUACACUUAAGUUGAAGACACAACACUCGAUCUGAAACAAAAAGUUUGUGCCUACUCAACAGCUUUGAAAGAGCACUUCCUAACACUGCUAGUAGUCUUUGUUUUCUUCAGUGCUGUACUGUGAGAUUGCCCGGUGCAGCAGCAGUUGUUUUCUUUAUUAGCUUGGUAGAUCAUUUUCUCUCGCUCUUUAAUAUUAGCAACUUUCAUCCUUCGAAACGUGUGCUGAAAAAGAAGAAUGAGCAAAUACUACUGAAAGUGCAAUAUUUGAUUAUCAUUGCGAGAUGAGCUUUGAUCCAAACCUUCUCCACAACAAUGCACACAAUGGGUACCCCAAUGGUACUUCAGCAGUACUGCGUGAAACUGGGGUUAUUGAAAAAUUAUUAACCUCUUAUGGAUUUAUUCAGUGUUCAGAACAUCAAGCUAGACUAUUCUUCCACUGCUCACAAUAUAAUGGAAACCUGCAGGACUUAAAAGUAGGAGAUGAGGUUGAGUUUGAAGUAUCAUCUGACCGGUGGACUGGGAAACCCAUUGCUGUUAAACUGGUGAAGAUAAAAUCCGAAAUCCUUCCUGAAGAAUGUAUAAAGGGACAAGAAGUGUUUUAUCUGACUUACACCCCUGAAGAUGUUGAAGGAAAUGUUCAGCUGGAAACCAGAGAUAAAAUAACUUUGUAAUUGAUAACAAUAAACAUACUGGUGUUGUAAGUGCUCAUAACAUUAUGCUGUUGAAAAAGAAACAACCCUGUUGCCAGGGAGAAGUUUGUGCCAUGAAGGAGGCAUUUAGCUUUAUUGAAAGAGGUGAUACUGUAAAAGAAAUAUUCUUCCACUAUAGUGAAUUUAAAGGUGACAUAGAAACCUUACAGCCUGGGGAUGAUGUGGAGUUCACAAUCAAAGAUAGAAAUGGUAAAGAAGUUGCAACUGAUGUCAAACUAUUGCCUCAAGGAACAGUUAAUUUUGAAGAUAUCAGCAUUGAACAUUUUGAAGGAACUGUUACCGAAGUUAUUCCCAAAGUACCCAGUAAAAACCAGAAUGACCCUUUGCCAGGAUGCAUCAAAGUUGACUUUGUCAUUCCUAAAGAACUUCCCUUUGGAGACAAAGAUACAAAAUCCAAGGUGACCCUGCUAGAAGGCUACCAUGUUAGGUUUAAUAUUUCAACAGAUCGAAGAGGACAAAUUGGAAUGAGCAACUAACAUAGAAGUCCUUUCAAAUACGUUUCAAUUCACUAAUGAAGCCAGAGAAAUGGGUGUGAUUGCUGCCAUGAUAGAUGGUUUUCGUUUCAUUUAGUGCAUGGAUGGCGAUGCUCGUAUGUUCUUCCACUUCAGUGAAAUUCUCGAUGGGAACCAGCUCCAUAUUGCAGAUGAAGUAGAGUUUACAGUGGUUCCUGAUAUGCUCUCUGCCCAAAGAAAUCAUGCUAUUAGGAUUAAAAGGCUUCCCAAGGGCAUGGUUCAUUCCAUUCUCAUUCAGAUCAUUAUUUUCUGGGCACUGUAGAAAAAGAAGCCACUUUUUCAAAAUCUAAAACCACUAGCCCAAAUAAAGGCAAAGAGAAAGAGGCAGAGGAUGACAUUAUUGCUUAUGAUGAUUGUGGGGUGAAACUGACUAUGGCUUUUCAAGCUAAGGAUGUGGAAGGAUCUACUUCUCCUCAAAUAGGAGACAAGGUUGAAUUUAGUAUUAGUGACAAACAGAGACCUGGCCAGCAGAUUGCAACUUGUCUGCCACUUUUAGGUCAUAAUUCCAAUUCCAAGAAGUUCUUGGGUUAUGUGGCAACUCUGAAGGAUAAUUUUGGAUUUAUUGAGACAGUCAAUCAUGAUAAGGAAAUCUUUUUCCAUUACACUGAGUUCUCUGGUGAUGUCGAUAGCCUGGAACUGGGGGACAUGGUCGAGUACAGCUUGUCCAAAGGCAAAGGCAACAAAAUCAGUGCUGAAAAAGUGAACAAAACACACUCAGUUGCAGGCCCCGUGAAUGGCAUCACUGAGGAAGCUGAUCCCACCAUCUACUCUGGUAAAGUCAUUCGCCCCCUGAGGAGUGUUGAUACAACACAGACAGAGUACCAAGGAAUGAUUGAGAUUGGGGAGGAGGGGGUUAUGAAAGGUGAGGUUUAUCUAUCUGGCAUAGUUGGGAUGGCCAACAAAGGGGAUUGCCUGCAGAAAGGGGAGAGUGUCAAAUUCCAGUUGUGUGUCCUGGGCCAAAAUGCACAGAAAACGGCCUAUAACAUCACACCCCUGUGUAGGGCCACAGUGGAGUGUGUGAAGGAUCAGUUUGGCUUCAUUAAUUAUGAAGUAGGAGAUAGCAAGAAGCUCUUUUUCCAUAUGAAAGAAGUUCAGGAUGGCACUGAGCUAAAAGCAGGAGAUGAGGUGGAGUUCUCAGUGAUUCUUAAUCAGCGCAGUGGCAAGGCCAUUGCAGCUCCUCGACCUGAUCGCCUGGUCAAUCGUUUGAAGAACACCACCUUAGAUGAUGCCAGUGCUCCUCGCCUCAUGGUUCUUUGUCAGCCAAGGGGACCAGAUAACUCAAUGGGAUUUGGUGCAGAAAGAAAGAUCCGUCAAGCUGGUGUCAUUGACUAACCACAUCCAAAAGCACAUCAUUAAUCCAGGAUGAUCAAGUUGGGGGGAUUCUGGUGAAGGAUUUUCAGUAUCUCGCUCUUCAUCCCUCCCAAAAUCUGGAAUACUUAUUCUAUUGAGCUAUUACACCA